AUUGAACGCUGGCGGCAGGCCUAACACAUGCAAGUCGAGCGGAUGAGAGGAGCUUGCUUCUCGAUUCAGCGGCGGACGGGUGAGUAAUGCCUAGGAAUCUGCCUGGUAGUGGGGGACAACGUUUCGAAAGGAACGCUAAUACCGCAUACGUCCUACGGGAGAAAGCAGGGGACCUUCGGGCCUUGCGCUAUCAGAUGAGCCGAGGUCGGAUUAGCUAGUUGGUGAGGUAAUGGCUCACCAAGGCGACGAUCCGUAACUGGUCUGAGAGGAUGAUCAGUCACACUGGAACUGAGACACGGUCCAGACUCCUACGGGAGACAGCAGUGGGGAAUAUUGGACAAUGGGCGAAAGCCUGAUCCAGCCAUGCCGCGUGUGUGAAGAAGGUCUUCGGAUUGUAAAGCACUUUAAGUUGGGAGGAAGGGUUGUAGAUUAAUACUCUGCAAUUUUGACGUUACCGACAGAAUAAGCACCGGCUAACUCUGUGCCAGCCGCCGCCGUAAUAC
rnacentral:rRNA from 1 species